CGAAGGGCCACUUCGAGUCGCUUGGUGACAUAAUGAUUUUAGGAGCAUAACCGGCAAGCCUACCUUCAGUUUUAGCUCGUGGUUUGGAAUUCCUGGGAAGGUCAAUUUGUUAAGGAACUCUGUUGGACACAUAUUCUCCAUUGUGUUGUAAUUUGUUGUUGCCUUGCAUACAGUGUCCAAGCUUAGGAUUACUGUGUUUUGUGGUUCGAGCUGCUGUGUAUGGCAUUAUUGGAGGGACAGUGUGCUUGUUUCUCAGUGAACGACAAUUGUUCCAUGGGAAUUACU